UAACCAACCAUGAGGAAGUGAUUUCUCAGACAUUGACAUCAGAGGAGAUCAAAACCAAAGUGUUAAAUUCCUCAGUAAGACCGUCCCACACCAGGAGUCUGAGGAAGCAAGACUAGAACGUCUGAAGGAGUGGAGGAGUAUAAUAGAGAAACACUGAGCAAAUGGAGCGUGAGACCAGCUCACCUGUACACACGCCACUUACUGAGGAGCCAUGUACGAAGAGGGCAAGACCGGAGAUGGAAGUAGAAGAGGAGUAUGAGCGAUGCCUCCAGACAACAGAAAGUGCCUUGAAAGCCCUGCAGGCAAUAGUGGGGCCAGACCACAACAUGUCACCGCCUCAGUGGGUCAGGACCAGACUUGAGGUCUUACAGACACUGAUAACUCAAAUCAACACCACUGCAAUAGAGCAGCCCUAAUUCAACUACAACACCUCUACCUAUGGCUGCUUUUAACAGUGCUGUCUUUGUUCCAUGUCACUACGUUUACUAAAGUCACCAAAGAUAUUUGUAUAAAAGUUGUAUUUUUUAAAGUUUAUAUGGAAAAG